rnacentral:rRNA from 1 species
AGAGUUUGAUCCUGGCUCAGGACGAACGCUGGCGGCGUGCUUAACACAUGCAAGUCGAACGGAAAGGCCCUUCGGGGUACUCGAGUGGCGAACGGGUGAGUAACACGUGGGUGAUCUGCCCUGCACUCUGGGAUAAGCCUGGGAAACUGGGUCUAAUACCGGAUAGGACCGCAUGCUUCAUGGUGUGUGGUGCAAAGCUUUUGCGGUGUGGGAUGAGCCCGCGGCCUAUCAGCUUGUUGGUGGGGUAAUGGCCUACCAAGGCGACGACGGGUAGCCAGCCUGAGAGGGUGACCGGCCACACUGGGACUGAGAUACGGCCCAGACUCCUACGGGAGGCAGCAGUGGGGAAUAUUGCACAAUGGGCGCAAGCCUGAUGCAGCGACGCCGCGUGAGGGAUGACGGCCUUCGGGUUGUAAACCUCUUUCAGUAGGGACGAAGCGAAAGUGACGGUACCUACAGAAGAAGGACCGGCCAACUACGUGCCAGCAGCCGCGGUAAUACGUAGGGUCCGAGCGUUGUCCGGAAUUACUGGGCGUAAAGAGCUCGUAGGUGGUUUGUCGCGUUGUUCGUGAAAACUCACAGCUUAACUGUGGGCGUGCGGGCGAUACGGGCAGACUAGGGUACUGCAGGGGAGACUGGAAUUCCUGGUGUAGCGGUGGAAUGCGCAGAUAUCAGGAGGAACACCGGUGGCGAAGGCGGGUCUCUGGGCAGUAACUGACGCUGAGGAGCGAAAGCGUGGGUAGCGAACAGGAUUAGAUACCCUGGUAGUCCACGCCGUAAACGGUGGGUAAUAGGUGUGG